GACGAACGCUGGCGGCGUGCUUAACACAUGCAAGUCGAGCGGAGCGGCGAACGGGUGAGUAAAGCGUGAGUAACUGCCCCCCUCUCUGGGAUAACAGUUGGAAACGGAUGCUAAUACCGGAUAGUGGGGGAUGACUCGCGUCCUCUAGGCUUGUUGGUGGGGUAGUGGCCUACAAAGGGGACGACGGGUAGCCGGCCUGCGGGGGCGACCGGCCACAUUGGGCUCAGAUACGCACCAAACUCCUACGGGCGGCAGCAGUUGGGAAGAUUGCACAAUGGGGGAAACCCUGAUUCAGCAACCCGCGUGCGGUAUGCUGUCCUUCUGGUUGUAACCCGCUGUCAGCCAUGACCCGGUAUUGGCAUAAGAAGCACCGGCUAACUACGUGCCAGCAGCCGCGGUAAUAC
rnacentral:rRNA from 1 species